AACGAACGCUGGCGGCAGGCUUAACACAUGCAAGUCGAGCGAACCCUUCGGGGUUAGCGGCGGACGGGUGAGUAACGCGUGGGAACGUGCCCUUUUCUACGGAAUAGCCUCGGGAAACUGAGAGUAAUACCGUAUACGCCCUUUUGGGGAAAGAUUUAUCGGAGAAGGAUCGGCCCGCGUUGGAUUAGGUAGUUGGUGGGGUAAUGGCCUACCAAGCCGACGAUCCAUAGCUGGUUUGAGAGGAUGAUCAGCCACACUGGGACUGAGACACGGCCCAGACUCCUACGGGAGGCAGCAGUGGGGAAUCUUAGACAAUGGGGGCAACCCUGAUCUAGCCAUGCCGCGUGAGUGAUGAAGGCCUUAGGGUUGUAAAGCUCUUUCAGCUGGGAAGAUAAUGACGGUACCAGCAGAAGAAGCCCCGGCUAACUCCGUGCCAGCCGCCGCAGUAAUAC
rnacentral:rRNA from 1 species